AUCACCUUUAUUUUGCAUGUUAAUAUUUUUGUUCUCAAAUCCAAUUUAUUAAUUUUAAUUUUCAAGUCUUAUUAUUUUAAUUCACGCGAAAGAGAAAUCCAUUCGAGUCUCUUGGGAAAACGAUACUUGGUCUUACCAUUUAUAUUACUUGUACGAUUUGGUACACUUGCCAAUUUGUCAACAUGUUCGAGAAUUAGGUGUAACACGAAGUGGGGGGGGG
rnacentral:lncRNA from 1 species